rnacentral:rRNA from 1 species
AUGUUUGAUUGUUGUUUUGGGAUCUCAAGAUCAGGUUCUUUUCUGUUCAUUGUUUCGCCUUUGUCUCAGGUUUUGCUGUCGACUGCGUGUGUUUUCAGCACCAGUAAAGUCUUGCUAUUACAGGAUCAGAGUCGUUGUAGACUGGGAGGCAAUAAAAACUAUCAGGCCCGUUCGUGCUGUGUUGGGUUCAGCCCAGUUACAAGACAAAGGAAGAGGAGAUGGAUACAAGAAGUCGAGAAGAUGCCCUUCUCUCUGUUUCUAAAUUACAGAGUACCUCGCCUGGAUCUGGAGGUGCAGUUACGGCGAACUCGACAUAGUCAAGGAUGGGAAAGAACCAUGGAAAUAAGAAAGGGCUCAGGUGGUAAGCACAUUGAAAGGAUCGACGGUUGA